CUCUCUCUGUUCUUUUAUAUUAGGCACAAACACAUAAGGGGAAUGAACUGAGCCUGACCUGGUGUAGAUAUAUGCUGUGAGAUUUCAGGUAUUAAUUUUAUCCUGUAGGAUUUUAACCAGCAGUUGAUGACUACUACGACCUCAAGAUCGAAGUAAUUAAUAAAAGGUGAUAGUUGAUGGUCAUGGCAGUGGAAAGUGUCUGGGAAUCAUGCCAUUCCUAUCAAUUCCUGACUAUACCAUCAUCAACCCUGUCAACCCUUAUAAGACCAUGAUAAGGAUGGUUGCUAAUAUUGAUAUGAGAAGCUUUAUUACUUUUGAUGUUGGCAGACAAUGGAAUGAUGAAAAGAACCAAUGG